rnacentral:lncRNA from 1 species
CAAAAUUCCAAACCAAUUGCUUCCUACUCAAAAUGUCUAUUUCUUCUCUCUAUCACAACUUUUUCCAAAUUCCACUCCUUUUUAAUCAAAUUAAUCUAAAUCUUCCUGUUCUUAUUUUAUAUUUGAUUAUUCAUAAGGAAACCCUGAAUCAAAUUGUAGUGUCCCACUAGACCUUUCCUAAGAUUACAUAAAUGUAGUUCAAAUUCAGGAUAAAGGGUAUAAGAUGUUGGAUCAUAUAAGGCUUAACAAUAUUUAUAUUACUCACUUCCCUUCUUCCUCCCCCCCUCCCCGGAUCGUAGUUUGAUCUUUGAGGUAAGGUCAACGUGGUCAAUACGGGUGGUAGUAUAUAUUUUGUGCUAGGUUGCCUUAGUUUCCCGGCCCUUUUAAAGAAAUUAAUAUAUUCUAGCUUAAUCUUUUUAUAUUAGCUUAAUCAUGAGAAAAAAUCUGAAUCGAAUAGUCCCACUAGAGCAUUCAUAAUUAUUUAUGAAUUCAUUUAACAUUAUUGAAUUUUGAAGCCUUUUUGUCCUGAUGCUUGUUUCCAUCUGCAAUGUCGGAUGGUUUUUGUUUUUUAGUGCCAUAAACUUUAACUAAUAAAGUUGGGUUUUAGUGAAUGAGAAAAUAUAUGUAGACUAUGAUGAAAAGAAGGUGUUUGUGGAAAUGGAGAGUAGAAAAUUUUGGCAGUGCUUUAGUUUCAGGGACUUAUUUCUUUGUCCAACAAGAAAGGAUAUGCUUGUUAAUGUUACUUCAAUUUUCAGACAUAAAACCAAAGGUAAGAUGAACUUGAAUGAUUUCCAUCGUAUUAUACGAUAAUGAAAUCCAUUUAUAUUAUGUGUUUAUGUUUCAUUAGUGUAUGGUUAUGUCUCCUCAGAAACCAAGAAGAGAAAGACUCAUUCUUGGAGGCAACUUGCCGAGGGAUUUCCUUCCUCGUGGGAAUACGUCCCCUCGGAAGCUGCUAAUAGAACGAGGAGUAAAACAAGCAUUCGGAUACUAUUUGGAACAUAAAUAAUCAAAAAAUGGAAUUUUGGAUGUAGGUUUGGAUUUUUGUAGCUUAAUCUUCCAUUUAAGGAUGUUUGGAAGGUUAAUAUAAUUGCUAGAUGUGUCUAUUCAAGAAUUAAAUAUUGGGUACUACUUUGUUUUGGUGGUAAUAAAAAGUUGUUUAGCCUCAAAAUCAUUUCCAUUUCUUUACAGGAAAAGGGCAAGGGAUGGUUACUCUUUACAAGGACAUGGAGGCUUGUGCAGGAUAUACAGAUAUACAGGUUAUGUGGGAGAUGGUACACUCUUCAUUCCCUAUUGAUGCCCACAACAAAAAACACAGAAAGAAAGUUUUGUGCUGGAGAUUUUGUUUCUGAACAAUUUGAACACUAGUGGCAUGUUCAGUACGAGGAUUAGAUACUACUGGACAAUAUUAACCAUGAAAAAGAAGUUAAAUAUUGUUAAAUACUAAAUAUGUAGUGGAUUGAUUUGCAAGUGUUGAUGUACAUCCUUUUACCUCUCUUUCAGCUUCAAUUAUAGGUCUCGUCUUUGUUUUGUAGUAACGACUAGCAAAUUAAUAUCGACUGCUAUUGCUGAUGUAUCUAUAACAUGUAGAAAUAAGGGCAUACAGAACAGUUGCUCCACACUAUAGAUGGUUAAUUGGUCACGUUUUAUUCGUGAAAUCUCUUGGAUUAGGCACUGCCAGU